UGGGGAAUUUUGGACAAUGGGCGAAAGCCUGGUCCAGCAAUGCCGCGUGUGUGAAGAAGGCAUUCGGGUUGUAAAGCACUUUUGUCCGGAAAGAAAUCCUUGGCUCUAAUACAGUCGGGGGAUGACGGUACCGGAAGAAUAAGCACCGGCUAACUACGUGCCAGCAGCCGCGGUAAUACGUAGGGUGCAAGCGUUAAUCGGAAUUACUGGGCGUAAAGCGUGCGCAGGCGGUUUGCUAAGACCGAUGUGAAAUCCCCGGGCUCAACCUGGGAACUGCAUUGGUGACUGGCAGGCUAGAGUAUGGCAGAGGGGGGUAGAAUUCCACGUGUAGCAGUGAAAUGCGUAGAGAUGUGGAGGAAUACCGAUGGCGAAGGCAGCCCCCUGGGCCAAUACUGACGCUCAUGCACGAAAGCGUGGGGAGCAAACAGGAUUAGAUACCCUGGUAGUCCACGCCCUAAACGAUGUCAACUAGUUGUUGGGGGAUUCAUUUCCUUAGUAACGUAGCUAACGCGUGAAGUUGACCGCCUGGGGAGUACGGUCGCAAGAUUAAAACUCAAAGGAAUUGACGGGGUCAUAGCUGUUUCCU
rnacentral:rRNA from 1 species